rnacentral:rRNA from 1 species
AGAGUUUGAUCCUGGCUCAGGGUGAACGCUAGCUACAGGCUUAACACAUGCAAGUCGAGGGGCAGCAUUUUAGUUUGCUUGCAAACUGAAGAUGGCGACCGGCGCACGGGUGAGUAACACGUAUCCAACCUGCCGAUAACUCCGGGAUAGCCUUUCGAAAGAAAGAUUAAUACCGGAUAGCAUACGAAUAUCGCAUGAUAUUUUUAUUAAAGAAUUUCGGUUAUCGAUGGGGAUGCGUUCCAUUAGUUUGUUGGCGGGGUAACGGCCCACCAAGACUACGAUGGAUAGGGGUUCUGAGAGGAAGGUCCCCCACAUUGGAACUGAGACACGGUCCAAACUCCUACGGGAGGCAGCAGUGAGGAAUAUUGGUCAAUGGGCGCGAGCCUGAACCAGCCAAGUAGCGUGAAGGAUGAAGGCUCUAUGGGUCGUAAACUUCUUUUAUAUGGGAAUAAAGUUUUCCACGUGUGGAAUUUUGUAUGUACCAUAUGAAUAAGGAUCGGCUAACUCCGUGCCAGCAGCCGCGGUAAUACGGAGGAUCCGAGCGUUAUCCGGAUUUAUUGGGUUUAAAGGGAGCGUAGGUGGAUUGUUAAGUCAGUUGUGAAAGUUUGCGGCUCAACCGUAAAAUUGCAGUUGAAACUGGGAGUCUUGAGUACAGUAGAGGUGGGCGGAAUUCGUGGUGUAGCGGUGAAAUGCUUAGAUAUCACGAAGAACUCCGAUUGCGAAGGCAGCUCACUAGACUGUCACUGACACUGAUGCUCGAAAGUGUGGGUAUCAAACAGGAUUAGAUACCCUGGUAGUCCACACAGUAAACGAUGAAUACUCGCUGUUUGCGAUAUACAGUAAGCGGCCAAGCGAAAGCAUUAAGUAUUCCACCUGGGGAGUACGCCGGCAACGGUGAAACUCAAAGGAAUUGACGGGGGCCCGCACAAGCGGAGGAACAUGUGGUUUAAUUCGAUGAUACGCGAGGAACCUUACCCGGGCUUAAAUUGCAACAGAAUAUAUUGGAAACAGUAUAGCCGUAAGGCUGUUGUGAAGGUGCUGCUUGGUUGUCGUCAGCUCGUGCCGUGAGGUGUCGGCUUAAGUGCCAUAACGAGCGCAACCCUUAUCUUUAGUUACUAACAGGUCAUGCUGAGGACUCUAGAGAGACUGCCGUCGUAAGAUGUGAGGAAGGUGGGGAUGACGUCAAAUCAGCACGGCCCUUACGUCCGGGGCUACACACGUGUUACAAUGGGGGGUACAGAAGGCGGCUACCUGGUGACAGGAUGCUAAUCCCAAAAACCUCUCUCAGUUCGGAUCGAAGUCUGCAACCCGACUUCGUGAAGCUGGAUUCGCUAGUAAUCGCGCAUCAGCCAUGGCGCGGUGAAUACGUUCCCGGGCCUUGUACUCACCGCCCGUCA